rnacentral:rRNA from 1 species
UAGGGAAUCUUCGGCAAUGGACGAAAGUCUGACCGAGCAACGCCGCGUGAGGGAAGAAGGUUUUCGGAUCGUAAAACUCUGUUGUUAGGGAAGAACAAGGACGUUGGUAACUGAACGUCCGCUGACGGUAUCUAACCAGAAAGCCCCGGCUAACUACGUGCCAGCAGCCGCGGUAAUACGUAGGUGGCAAGCGUUGUCCGGAUUUAUUGGGCGUAAAGCGAGCGCAGGCGGUUUCUUAAGUCUGAUGUGAAAGCCCCCGGCUCAACCGGAGAGGGUCAUUGGAAACUGGGAGACUUGAGUGCAGAAGAGGAGAGUGGAAUUCCAUGUGUAGCGGUGAAAUGCGUAGAUAUAUGGAGGAACACCAGUGGCGAAGGCGGCUCGCUGGUCUGUAACUGACGCUGAGGCUCGAAAGCGUGGGGAGCAAACAGG